GAAUUCCUACGGGUGGGUUUCCGAAUAUUGUGUUCAACUUUUUGAAAGCAGCUCGUGACCCCGAAACUGCAUCCCCCGGAGCCAAGGACCCAGGCGCCGGGCGGGCGGGUGAACCCGGUCAGUCCCCUCCCCAUCCCCGCAACCCCCGCCUCCGGGUGGGGGCGACCUGGCCUCUCCCAGCCGCUGCCGGCCCAUCCCCGGAGGGAGGCUGCGCAGGUGCUGCGGGCUCUGCCGAAAGCGCUGAAAUCAAAAACCAUCGCCACUCAGGGAGAACUGAGGCAAGUGGGGCUGAGACUCUGGCGACACCCCCACCUCCCAGCCUCUGCCCCAGCGCCAGCCACCCUGCUACACCCUGCCUGCUCGGGUGGCGGCCGAGGCUCCGGAGCGCGAAGUAGGGCACAGAGCUGCGGCGAGGCGUGCAGCUUUGUGCGCCGGGACCGGGUGGGGCGGGUGGCAGCCCCCGGCUGUCCAAGCCUUCCAGAAGAGCCGAGCUCGGCGCCGCCCACCGAGCCCACCUCGCAGUCCAGCGGUCGCUAGCGCCUCUCGGCUCUGGACUGAAGAUCUACUUCCACCGUCUGGAGCCGGGAAAGCCAACCGGUCUGCAGGCCUCCGGGAGAGGAGGAUCCGAAGGGCUGGGGCAGCUGCACCUACUUGGCCUCGCUAGGCUCUAAACUGCAGACCCAAGAGGCCCGGGGAAGGUUUGCCGUGUGGGGGCAACGCCCCUUCCGGCUCCCAGGACGUCCGGAGGCGGGGGCUGGCCGGGUGGCCCACAGUCUGGGCCUCCCCGCAAGCUGCAAACUGAGGUGCUUGGCUCAGGCGGCCAGGGAGGGCGCAGGGGAGCGCAGCAUGCAGGCGGGGAGGCCUCGAAACCCUUCAAGGACCCCGAUUACUUUCCAUUGAAAAACAACAACAACAACUGCUCUCUCCCCGCACCCCCGCCCCCCGCCUUAGCCUCCGGGGACUGGCGCUCCAAGCAAUUGUCGCCCUGGACAGUAAACACAGCUCAGUUGCCUCAACUUUCUCCCUGCAUAAAAGUUCCUGGCGUGCGGGGAAAUUUGAAUAUUUGAUCAGCUCCUUUGAGUGACCCUCAUUAGUCCGGCGCCCUGCUAAGGCCGGGCAUUGCAAGAAAGCUGCUGGGCCCGGCAUUUGUACGCCUUGUUAGCGCAGCUUAAUGAAGCCGCCCCGACGGCUCAAAGACGGCCUCAGGGGCCGCAGGCGCGCACCUCUCGGCACCCUGCUCUGCCUAAUGAGCCCCGCCGCCCGCUAAAGGCCCCUCCACCCCCCACAUUCUCAAACAAGGGAAGUUUGGCUCUGUCUUGAACCACAGCACCUCCCACUGCCAGGCCCAGGAGGGUGGGCACAAACCCAGCCUAGCUGCCUUCGGUGACCCAGCCCCAAGAGAGGGGCUGGAGACUUGGGAGAUGUGAGCCAGACUGGUGGGGGGGGGCGGUGGUGGUGGAGGGAGAGGCUUUUGCUGCCUCAGGAUCCAGCCCAGGGAGUGCACUGACAACCUCUCCCAAGAGGACCAAUUGCAAAUCAAUUAGUCACUCCAGUUCCUUAAAGGUGAAUCUGGACUAAUGUUGGGGUGGCUGAGGAUCAGCCUUCCAUCCUCCUGUCACCUCAAGUUCCCUUGGUGUCCUCUGCCCAGAGGCCACACACUUCUUCCCAAGGAUCCCCUUCUGAACAGCCAGACCUUGUGUGCCAGGACUUGGAUUUGAGAAAGGGUGGGCAGCUCUCCUCCCUAACCCAUCAUUGCCUCCACUAUCCACAGAGCCCAGGCACAGGUUAUGACAGGUGGUAGUAGGGAAGGCAGGGACCACAGCCUGUCCUGCAUUCCCCCCUCAGCAGAGGGACCCCUUCUUUGGCUUCUAGUCCCUGGGAGGCCUGAAGAAGUGCUAUAGGCAGGACCACCCUGCAAGACUGGCCUGGCAAGCCCGGCAGAGAGGCAGAAGCCAGAGUUCUGGAAGGAAGGGAAACCAAAGCAGUCAUCUGCUUCACCUUUUCUUAGUGGGGCAGCUGACAUGGCUGGCCAGUAAAUAUAAGACACUGUCUUAGAAACAGCUUCAGUCCUCAGAUGCCCUUUUCCCUGGACGGUUGGAGCUCAAGGUCCCUCACUCUCUCCUUGCAUACCCAGCUCUUUGGCCCUUAAGGGUUACUUUUGGGGGGAAUUGAUGCUAUGGGCUUGGGAAGCAGGCUACUGCCAGAUCCACAUUCAGGACUUUCUGGACCCCACCCGCCAACACACACGCCCAGAAUCCCUGAGACACACAGUGGGCCUAGUCAGGUUGGUAACCUCAGGCCUCCAUUCCAGGGUAAGCAUCUCUGGGAGGUCGUGGGAAGGAGCCAAAAGGCCAGGUAGGCCCUGGGAUUGAGAGAGCCCUCCAAGUCCAUCUGGUUUGCUUCUCUUCCUUUCUGUCUCCCUAGCUCCACUAGCAUGCCCUGCCCCAUUUCCCAUCCCAUAACCCCUAACUCAACCCGAAACUGGCAAUCUUUAGGCAUCACCUCUGAGCUGGGCAAAGGCGGUGCCCGGGCCUUGAUCCACCUAGAGGGCUAAAGUAAAGACAGGGAAGGGAGGGGUGGGCACUGCUGGUGAGAAAGGGGACCUGAGGCGAGGGUAGAACUCAGCCCUGUGGCCUCGAGGCCAGGCCCACAGGCUGCUCAGGGGAGGAGGCGAGGGGAGGGGGCUGGGAGUCCGCAGGCAACGGUCGGGGCAGCAGGGACCUCAGGCGUCGGCGUGGGGGGCUAGAUCGGGAGGAGAGGGGAGGGGAGGCGGGGGUCGGGGGAUCGCGCAGGGCGGAGGAGGGGUGCGGCUCUUUAAGAGCCACACGGCUGGCAGGAGAGGCGCGCGGCCCAGUGCUGGUAGAGCACUGACCCCGAAGGGGAUUUAGAGGGAAGAGAGUGGCCGGGCUCUGGGGGUUUUGUCCGAGGGGGCUGGGAGAGGCCGAGACACAAGAAUAAGGAGCGGCCGCGGCAUGAAAGGCCGCAAGGAGCGGCAGUGCUGCUGCUCUUGACUUCUGAGCAGGGCUUAGCGAGCCUGCCCCGGCUUAAGCCGAGAUGCUGGUUCUGGGCCCUGAGCGCCGAGUCCGUGAGCUCUGAGUCCAGAGUCCCACGGAGGCGUGGGAUGAGGGGGGCAUCCGGGGACAGGGCAAAGUCGGUCUUGGCUGUAGAGCCGCCCGAUCCGAGCGCAGAGCUGCGAGCCUGACCGGCCGCGUCUGGCAUGGUCAGAGAAAGAAUUUUCUUUUUCCAACUUUGGCUUUUGGUUUUGUGUGUCCACCUUGCGCAACUCCGGAGCCUGCCGACCCCAGAGGAAUUCUCAACAGGUGGCCGCACAUCUUCUGAGCCUCCCUCUCUCAUCUAAAAGUGGAGUGUAAGUCCAAGAAGAUUCAUCUAGACAAAGAAGGAGGAAAAAAGGACUUUCUGGGCCAGCAAGUCGGAUGACCACCCUCCAAGGGGCAGAGGAGGGUCCAUUUUGUGAAGAAGAAAUGAACCACCCGGAAAACGCCACAGGAGGACAUGUUUUUGCAGAUGUAGUUGCCCUAGAAACAGAAGAGUAUGGGGGUGUGAGUUGGAAAGAAUUUCUUCUCUUUUGGGGGCAAACACUAUGUCCUUUUCUUUUUUAGAUACAGUUAAUUCCUGGAAAUUUUAGCGAGUUUGUUCUUGUGGACGUUUUGAACAAUAAAGAGUGAAAAUCA